GCUCGAUUAACUCAGCGGUAGAGUGCCUCCAUGACAUGGAGGUGGUCACUGGUUCGAAUCCAGUAUUGAGCACCA
rnacentral:tRNA from 1 species